rnacentral:misc_RNA from 1 species
GAUGAAGAACGUAGCGAAAUGCGAUACGUAAUGUGAAUUGCAGAAUUCAGUGAAUCAUCGAGUCUUUGAACGCUCAUUGCGCCCCCUGGUAUUCCGGGGGGCAUGCCUGUCCGAGCGUCAUUGCUGCCCUCAAGCCCGGCUUGUGUGUUGGGUCUCGUCCCCCUUCCCGGGGGGACGGGCCCGAAAGGCAGCGGCGGCACCGCGUCCGGUCCUCGAGCGUAUGGGGCUUUGUCACCCGCUCUGUAGGCCCGGCCGGCGCUUGCCGAUCAACCAAAACUUUUUUCCAGGUUGACCUCGGAUCAGGUAGGGAUACCCGCUGAACUUAAGCAUAUCAAUAAGCGGAGGA